GGAGGGGGCGAGCGCUAUUCGGAUUUACUGGGCGUAAAGCGCACGUAGGCGGCUAGGUAUGUCAAAGGUGAAAGCCCUCGACUCAACCGAGGAACUGCCUUCGAAACUGCUUGGCUUGAGUCCGGGAGAGGGGAGCGGAAUUCCCAGUGUAGCGGUGAAAUCCGUAGAUAUCGGGAGGAACACCUGCGGCGAAGGCGGCUCUCUGGACGGUGACUGACGCUGAGACGCGAAAGCGUGGGGAGCAAACAGGAUUAGAUACCCUGGUAGUCCACGCCGUAAACGUUGCGCACUAGGUGUCGGGAGAUCCCACCCCUCUCGGUGCCCGACGCUAACGCAUUAAGUGCGCCGCCUGGGGAGUACGGUCGCAAGGCUG
rnacentral:rRNA from 1 species